UACGUAGGGUGCAAGCGUUAAUCGGAAUUACUGGGCGUAAAGCGUGCGCAGGCGGUUAUGUAAGACAGAUGUGAAAUCCCCGGGCUCAACCUGGGAACUGCAUUUGUGACUGCAUAGCUAGAGUACGGUAGAGGGGGAUGGAAUUCCGCGUGUAGCAGUGAAAUGCGUAGAUAUCUGGAGGAAUACCGGUGGCGAAGGCGGCAUCCUGGACCGACAUUGACGCUGAUGAGCGAAAGCUAGGGGAGCAAACGGG
rnacentral:rRNA from 1 species